CUCUGAUUUCGAAGGAGUUGUCACAUGCAUUCCUUUAGAUGAACCAGUGAUUGAAGCCUACACCUUUCUUGGUUUCCGUCUUCUGUGGGGUACUCGUCGUCUUGGUGGCUCGGAUUGCGUUUGCAAGACAUGCUACCAUCUCUUCAAUAUUCCGCACCCUUGUUUGAAGAGGACAUGUACAUGUGGACAUAGCAGGGUGGAGAAAAUAUGUGAAAUGUGUUAUAAUCGAAGCGGUGUGCUGCAUCCAUUCAGAGGAGAAUUCCAGUUUGGCUAUCACAAAUAGGGUUACCCCUACUGCUCACAUAAUAUGCUAAGCUAGACUUGGUGAGUUGGUGGUGGGGCAGUAUGUGUGUUCGAAUGCUCAAUGUGUAUCAUUCGUCCUUACAUCACUCUUGGCAAUCUUAUGUACUUGAGAACUUUGGCAAUCAUAUAAGUAUGCUGUCUCUUUUU